GGUGAUAUUAUUUGAACUAGUUUUUUAUGAGUUUACAAAGAUAUACCCUGUCAGCCCUUAGCACACGUACCAUUAUCUAUUUUAAGGGCUCAUCUCCACUCCCACUGUUUCUGUCUUUAGUGCUAAACCCGCUGCUGUAAUUACUGUAACAACUGUCUGUGUCACAGAUCGUUUCUGUAAGUUUGCAUAGCAUUUAGCCAAAAUGGAGCUUUAGUACUUCUUGAGGUCAUUAAUAUAAUACAAGUAAAAACAUAAUUAUAUAUUUAUGUGAUUUAUCCUUGCCAUGUUUGAUAAAUUUUAUUUUAUUUUUUAAUGAGAUCUUUAAGUAUCAGUUUGUAGUUUUAGCAAGAUCACUCUAACAUCUUCCCGAAUGGUAACAGCCUCUUGACCUCUUGUGAAAGGCAAUGGAAGAGAAAGCAGUAUUUCACCCAGAUAUGUCUGACUGUGGACCAGAGGAGCAUGUGAAGAACUGGUUGACUAUGGAGGACACAGCUCACACCACAGCUGGGGAGACUUCAGUGGUGGCAGAUCCCUUCACACCAACAUCACAAAGCAAUUUGGCCUUAUCAGUGCUGAUAAGACAUCAUUUGCAUUUGUACUGGAAGAAAACCCAGGACUGCAAGACAUAGUAUAACCAAGAUGGAUAUUUGAGAUUCGUGAAAUAGCUUCCUGUGGACUCCUGUUUGAAGUAAACAGAUUUGAAAUCUACAUAUGAAAGGGCUUUUACAGCUACGGAUUUUCAUGGACUUUCAGAGAUAUUUGUGUUGGAGAGGCAUAUCUUACAUCUGAGGAAAGCCAAUGCCACGUUUCUUCUCCUGUACUUCUCCUGUACAAUGCUAUCAAGAGAAUAUGGUGAGGAUUCAAUGUGUUAUAUAAGUUUCUAGAAUACACAAUACAGAAAUCAUCUUGCAAAGUUAAUAAAAAGCUCUUGGCUACCUUUAAAUUUA